GUAACGGCUUACCAAGGCGACGAGCAGUAGCCGACCUGAGAGGGUGAUCGGCCACAUUGGAACUGAGACACGGUCCAAACGCCUACGGGAGGCAGCAGUGGGGAAUAGUGGACAAGGGGCGAAAGCCGGAUGGAGGAACGCCGCGUGGGUGAUGAAGGCCUUCGGGUCGUAAACCUCUGUCCUCAAGGAAGAUAAUGACGGUAAUUGGGGAGGAAGCCCCGGCUAACUACGUGCCAGCAGCCGCGUGAAUACGUAGGGGGCUAGCGUUAUCCGGAUUUACUGGGCGUAAAGGGUGCGUAGGCGGUCUUUCAAGUCAGGAGUGAAAGGCUACGGCUCAACCGUAGUAAGCUCUUGAAACUGGGAGACUUGAGUGC
rnacentral:rRNA from 1 species